AUGUGUGUUUGUGUGUGCAUGUAUAUGUAUAUAUUUACAUAUAAUACAUAUCUAUAGGUGUGUAUAUACAUGCUGUAUA
rnacentral:miRNA from 1 species